GCCAGCCUGAUCCGAAGGACGUGACGGUUCACUCAUCUGAAUUAACAGAGGGAUCAGAGACUGAAGAUGACGAAUAUGAGAAGGAGCAUGAGGGACAUCAUUCUAAAUCCCAUGUGCAUCGAACGCUAAAUCCAGAGGAACGUCUCUUCCUGGUGGCGGAGUCAAGUCUGCGAGAGCUCCUGUCACAGUGUCCUUGUGGCAGCAGC